CCUACGGGUGGCAGCAGUGAGGAAUAUUGGUCAAUGGACGAGAGUCUGAACCAGCCAAGUAGCGUGAAGGAUGACUACCCUAUGGGUUGUACACUUCUUUUAUAAAGGAAUAAAACGAGGCACGUGUGCCUUUUUGCAUUUACUUUAUGAAUAAGGAUCGGCUAACUCCGUGCCAGCAGCCGCGGUAAUACGGAGGAUCCGAGCGUUAUCCGGAUUGAUUGGGUUUAAAGGGAGCGUAGAGUGGUUGUUAAGUCAGUUGUGAAAGUUUGCGGCUCAACCGUAAAAUUGCAAUUGAUACUGGCAGUCUUGAGUACAGUUGAGGUAGGCGGAAUUCGUGGUGUAGCGGUGAAAUGCGUAGAUAUCACGAAGAACCCCGAUUGCGAAGGCAGCUUACUAAACUGUGACUGACAUUGAUGCUCGAAAGUGUGGGUAUCAAACAGGAUUAGAUACCCGAGUAGUC
rnacentral:rRNA from 1 species